AGAGUUUGAUCCUGGCUCAGGAUGAACGCUAGCUACAGGCUUAACACAUGCAAGUCGAGGGGCAGCAUGAACUUAGCUUGCUAAGUUUGAUGGCGACCGGCGCACGGGUGAGUAACACGUAUCCAACCUGCCGAUGACUCGGGGAUAGCCUUUCGAAAGAAAGAUUAAUACCCGAUGGCAUAGUUCUUCCGCAUGGUAGAACUAUUAAAGAAUUUCGGUCAUCGAUGGGGAUGCGUUCCAUUAGGUUGUUGGCGGGGUAACGGCCCACCAAGCCUUCGAUGGAUAGGGGUUCUGAGAGGAAGGUCCCCCACAUUGGAACUGAGACACGGUCCAAACUCCUACGGGAGGCAGCAGUGAGGAAUAUUGGUCAAUGGACGAGAGUCUGAACCAGCCAAGUAGCGUGAAGGAUGACUGCCCUAUGGGUUGUAAACUUCUUUUAUAAAGGAAUAAAGUCGGGUAUGGAUACCCGUUUGCAUGUACUUUAUGAAUAAGGAUCGGCUAACUCCGUGCCAGCAGCCGCGGUAAUACGGAGGAUCCGAGCGUUAUCCGGAUUUAUUGGGUUUAAAGGGAGCGUAGGCGGACGCUUAAGUCAGUUGUGAAAGUUUGCGGCUCAACCGUAAAAUUGCAGUUGAUACUGGGUGUCUUGAGUACAGUAGAGGCAGGCGGAAUUCGUGGUGUAGCGGUGAAAUGCUUAGAUAUCACGAAGAACUCCGAUUGCGAAGGCAGCCUGCUGGACUGUAACUGACGCUGAUGCUCGAAAGUGUGGGUAUCAAACAGGAUUAGAUACCCUGGUAGUCCACACAGUAAACGAUGAAUACUCGCUGUUUGCGAUAUACAGUAAGCGGCCAAGCGAAAGCGUUAAGUAUUCCACCUGGGGAGUACGCCGGCAACGGUGAAACUCAAAGGAAUUGACGGGGGCCC
rnacentral:rRNA from 1 species